UAAUACAGAGGUCCCGAGCGUUGUUCGGAUUCAUUGGGCGUAAAGGGUGCGUAGGCGGCGGGGCAAGUCUGAUGUGAAAUCCCGGGGCUCAACCCCGGAACUGCAUUGGAUACUGCCUUGCUCGAGUACUGGAGAGGGAACUGGAAUUUACGGUGUAGCAGUGAAAUGCGUAGAGAUCGUAAGGAAGGCCAGUGGCGAAGGCGAGUUCCUGGACAGUUACUGACGCUGAGGCACGAAGGCCAGGGGAGCAAACGGGA
rnacentral:rRNA from 1 species